UAUGUGUUUACUUUUAUUGUAUAUUUAUUUUUCUAAACUCUUUGGCACAAUUUUCUGGGGGCGUUCAGACUGCCACAAUACAAGUCAGGAGAGGGCGUUUUCUUUGUGCUGCCAAUUCUGAUCAUUUAAAUUUUGGUUUGUUUGGGUUGUGAUUUUUUUGUUUUUGAAGUCUGCGUUAUUUGUAACAAUUGUACUUAUAUUUUUCUAUAUCCUCUAACGCCAGAGUUUUCUUUUUCUCCCCCCUCCCCCC
rnacentral:lncRNA from 1 species